AUGUCACAAAAAGCAACACAAACAGCAACAAAAUCAGCAACACCAUUUGAGGACAAAGCUCAGACCAUGCUGAAGUCCACCUGGAACCUUACUUCAGAUGUCCACUCCAGUGUCCAACUUGUGGAAUCUGGACCAGAAACGCUGAGACCCGGGCAAACCCUCAGGCUAGCUUGCACUGUGACUGGGGAUUCGUUGAAGAAUGUAUGGUGGGAAUGGGUCCGCCAGGCUCCUGGAAAAGGACUGGAAUGGCUGGGCCAAAUAGACUGGAAUGUCGAUGAAUGGCGUAUACGCUAUGCUCAGUCUCUUCAAAGCCGAACAAUCCUCUCUGCUGAUUCCUCUAAGAAUGAGUUUUAUCUUGAGCUGAGAUCCCUGACAGCUCAAGACACAGCCACCUAUUACUGUGCCAGAAAAGCACAGUGA